GGCGCUAUAGCCAAGUGGUUACGGCGACAGAUUAGAACUGUAUAAAUUGGCAAUUCAUCUGUUCCUCUUUGAGGGCGCAGGUUCAAAUCCUGCUGGCGUCG
rnacentral:tRNA from 1 species